GCGCUUAGAGCAGUGCUCUGCACAUAGUAAGCACUUAACAACAUUAUUAUUAGUAUUAUUAACAAACACCAACAUUAUCAUUAUUACUACCGAGUGAAUGAUUGCACGAAUGUGUGUGUGCGCAGAGGGGUCUGCGAGCGAGUCCAGGCGACCCCGGCCCCUCCCGCCCCUACACGCUUGAUCUUAUUUGAUCGGGCCACGGCCCCCGCCCCGCCGGGCCGGCCCGAAGUGAGAAGCCCCCCCUCCUGCGAAGCCCCCCGGGGCGCUGUGCAGCGAGGCCCAUCCAGGCGGAGGCCGCCCCGGUGCCAGGCCCGGGACCGGCCGCUCAGGAGUGAUGAGUCGAUCAGAUAGACGAGGCCAAGGCCCCCGGCCCGGCCCGUGAGUUGCGAGGCGAUUCUGACCUGA